ensembl:snRNA U6 U6 spliceosomal RNA
UUGGUCUCACUUCAACACACAUACUAAACUUGGAACGAUACGGAAAAGAUCAGCACAGCCCCUGUGCAAGGAUGACACACAAACUCAUGAAGCGUUCCAUAUUUUU